AAGGGGCAAAUUAAUUAAUAAAGUUAGUGUAAUAAAAUUAUUUUAAAUAAUUAAUUUGAAAUGAAAUGUUAUUCGUUUUUAAAUAUAUCUAGUUUUUUUAGAAAAAAAUUUAAUUUUAAAUUUAAUAUUAAUUUAAUUAAUUUGAAAAUUAUUUUAAAUAUUAAAUUUUAUAUUUUAGGGGAUAAGCUUUAAAUUAUAUUUUUAUAUAGUUUAUAUUGCAUAUUUGCAAUAUUAAUGUAAAUAGAAUAUUGAAAUUUUUAUAUUUUAUAUUGUUAAUAAAUUUUAAUUUUUAAUAAAUAAUUUCAUGAUUAUAUAAAAUUUAAUAAAAUUUAAAUUAAUUUUUUAUAAAAAAAUUUUUUUUAAUUUUAAUUGUUAAGAUAUAAUGAUAAAAUUAGUAUAUUUAUUAUAAAAUAAAUAUUAUUAUAAUAUUUUUAAUUUAAAUAAUUAAAAGGAAUUCGGCAAAAAUUUAUGUUCACUUGUUUAUCAAAAACAUGUCUUUUUGUGAUUAAUUUAAAGUCUAAUCUGCCCACUGAUAUUUUUAUAUAUUAAAGGGCUGCAGUAUAUUGACUGUACAAAGGUAGCAUAAUCAAUAGUCUUUUAAUUGAUGACUUGUAUGAAGGAUUGGAUGAAAUAUUAACUGUCUCUUAAUUAAUUUAUAGAAUUUAAUUUUUUAGUUAAAAAGCUAAGAUUUUUUAAAAAGACGAGAAGACCCUAUAGAGUUUUAUAUUUAUUCUUAUAAUAAAUUAUUUAUUAAUAUUAUUAUUUUAAUAAAAUAAAAUAUUUUAUUGGGGUGAUAAAAAAAUAUAUAUAACUUUUUUUUUAUUAAUUCAUUAAUAAGUGUAAUAUUGAUCCAGUAUUAUUGAUUAAAAGAUUAAAUUCCCUUAGGGAUAACAGCGUAAUUUUUUUUUUUAGUUCAUAUAAAAAAAAAAGUUUGCGACCUCGAUGUUGGAUUAAGAUAAAAUUUAAAUGCAAAAGUUUAAAAUUUUG
rnacentral:rRNA from 1 species